UCCGUGCCGUCUGGCCGCGCGCGACCCACGCCCCGCCGCCGGACGGCGUGUUGCGGGUUGUGGAGGCCGCGACCAAGACGAAGAAACUGAGGCACAGAGAGUGAAGCAACAGUUAAACCAGUGAAGAACCUAACAAAGUUCAAGUUUGAACAUCCUUGCCGUUCCCCGGGAGUGCCCAGUCUGGCCCACCAACCGACUUCCCUCUGCUGCGUAAAAGCAAGAAGGAAGACAACGGGCAAUGGGGGCACCCAGGACCUGGCACAAGAUGAAGGGAUGAGAAGAUGCAGCGUGCUGUGAAAUCCAAGAUGACCACCUCCCCGAACCCCGUCCACCUCACCUGGGUCCUUCCUUCUUCAUUUUUCCCUUUUCCUUAGCAGAUUCAGUACUUCUCUCACUGCUGUCUCCUUUCCUUCUGCCUUCCAACAUCCACAAGUUUCCUUUUGUUCUGUCACUUCUGUCUACUACACAGUCCUUGAGAUAGUGAUCUACACCCCUUACCUUCCUUCCUCUCCACUUGCUCUCCUUGACCCGGAAAUAUGUUGCCCCCUCUCCACACCUGCCGAAAUCCCUGUCACCUCCCAGCUCCAAACCCCAGCCUUCGGUCUGCUCUGUUCCUACUGAAGCCUCUGCAGUUGAUGAUGCUCAUAGACCUCUUUCUUAAGGUUGUCUUCUCUGCUGACAUCUGUGUACUCUCCCCUCUCCCACGGUAGUCUUCCUCAGUUCCUCUUCCUCCUCUCCGCUCCUGGUGUGUGUCUGUCUGUCUGUCUGUCUGUCUCUCUCACUCUCCACAUCUCCCUUGGGAGUCUUAUCUAAUCCGUUGCUUCCCUACGUAACCACCUCCAUCUCCUGGGCCACACUUCUAAAUGCCAGCUGCAUAUUGCUUCCAUCAAAUGUAACAUAUUUAAACCAGAAUUUCUCAACUCACCCCCCAAUCCAAGUAGCCACUUUCUCAUGACUUCCCUAUUUCAACAACCUGGGCUGCAUCUCUGAGAUACUCUGAAGCUUCAAGCCUGGCUUCUUUUGAAUCCUUCAACUUCCACAGUGCAUCAGUCUUUACAUCCUUCAAAAUGUCUCCCAAAUUGGUGCCUCUUCAGCUCCCACCACAGCUACCUUUCCUGGGUUGUUUUGUGCCUCCAUCAUCACUCCCCUGUGCAAACACCUCAGAGGUCCCCUGCCACGUGUGGACUGAAGCCCAGCUGUGCGGACCUUCUCCAGGGUGGCUCCCUCUGGUCCUUCCCCACUGCAGAACUUCUCUCCCUUGUCUCCAUCCUGACCUUCCACCUGCAGCAAGACCCAGUUUGUGUCUCACCUCUGCACUUGCUUUUAUCGUGACCUCAGUGGGAGGUCGUCUCUUAUCUAACCUCAGCUCCAAAAUACAAUAUGCGUAGAUGUCUGCUCCACGCGUUGGGUCUGGCACGCUCAGACUUCCUUGCCUGUGUGUUUGUCUGUUCUCCCAGCAAUAUCUGAAGCUUCUAGAGCACCUUUGCAUUUGUUUGUGCCCUGCUGGGAUGGGGUUGGUAAAUUCAUAAGCUCAGAGCGAGACUAGGAAGACAAAUAUGUGAUCGGAAGGGAGCAAGGCAGGUGCGUAAUGGAGUAGAGUGGAAGGGCCAGUGUUGGCCUAACAAAACCCAUCUGCAGGUUGAAUGGAGCUGUGGGCCACCACUUUGAGAUCCUCACCCAGGUGCCUCGCCCUGGCAGCUACUCCGUGAAUACUCUUUAUGGUUGAUUCCCCAGAGGCAGCAG